AGGCGCAGAGGAAGCGCACUGCGGCGGCCUGCCUCUCCAUGUUCGGCGUCCGCGUGGAAAGUUCCACGCGUCCACGGUAGACUCCCACCCCAACCUCAUUUCCCUCUUCGCCCGCGGGCCACCUGCGGAGCGAGACUCCGUCUCUCCCCUGCUUGGGGACGGCAAGCCGGCGUGGUGUGCAGAACUUGCUGAGUUUCCCUGGGAUGGCCCUUCAGCCGAAGACUCAAGUUGGUCCUCUUCACUGUAGUUCUGUGGCUGGUAGCAAGACCUGUAGAUUGAAAUUUGUUCGCUAACUGCCGCAAAAACAGGUCUGAUUGUCUACCCACACAGCUUCCUGCUGAAGGUACUCCCAGAAUUCAAGUUGGAUUCCAGGGCCAGUUCGGCUGAGUGGGAACCUUGGGUGUACGCGCCUUGUUCCCCUGCGCAGAUGAGGCUUGUGCUCGGACUGUAGUCACUACUGCUGCAUACGCAGCAGCCUUGAGGUCCCUGUGGUCCAGAGCCUACGACGUCAUCAUUAAGGUCAUAACAAGAUGAUGUUGACAGCCUUCUGUGUUGGGGAUUUUGUUUCUCUUCGAAACCUUGACGUUUUGAACACUUUGAGAAGAACUCUGAGUUUGUGAAAAUUCUAUUGUCCCUUGUCAUCUACUAGAGUCCAGUCGCUAGGGAAAUAGUAAACUAGGAUAAGAAACUUUAAAUGACCAAAGUCUUUGUGAUUUUCAGCUCAGUCAUCUGUUGUGUUUUUCAGUCUCAUCUAUGAAGGGAUAACCAGUGAGUUUACUUAAGCAGAUGAUUUAGGCCCAACACCUGCUUUGGCUGGAAUAAUCUGGGUGAAUUAAACAACCCUAUUUCUGUUGUGCUGAAUUUCACUGUGUUUUGUAGAGUCAGGAUCUCUUGUAUCCAUGAAGCCCUAACUGGCUUUGAACUCCCUAUGUGGCUGAAGAUAACCUUGAACUUCUGAUAUGCCUAACUCUACUUCGGGGAUUACAGGGCUUCUUCACUUCGAUUGGUUAUGUUUUAUGUUUGCUCUUUUGACUUGUACCAGUGACAAACUGGAAUUGCAGGACUACUUCUGAGAUCAGUUAAGGAAAGAAUGUUGAGACUCUGUCUUAGAGCAAAUAUUAGACUGCUUAUGGGAGGAGGCCUUUAUCCUACCCAGCUGCUUGCCUUGUGUGUACAGAUUUUUUUCCUCUCACGAAUUACUGAUUGAAGUGGAGUGCCCUUUUCUAUCUUUUGCCCUCAAAACAUUUUUGUUGUUGUUGCUGUUGGACUUUCUCACUAUGCUCUGAUUGUGAGUGUCUCACUAGAGAGGUUAGUGCUAUUUGGAAAACCUGAAAUGCUCUGAUGCCAUGAUUUCAUGAACUAAUAGAACCAAUUCAGUUCUAUAGAGAUACCUUCAAACUGUGCUAAAAGAAGGUGUUGUUAAGGGAGUGUCAGGACCAGGCCUCUGGCUAAUCUGAGGCACUUUUUAAGGCCAGCCAGGGCUACUUAAAGGAGACAAUAUCUAAAGAUUUUAACAGCAAGCCAAAAAAACCAAAUAACUAAUAUUUGUAGUCUUUAUGUACAGCAUGUAAUUAGUCCAAUUGGCAUUACAAUACAUGGUGAUUUUUAACAGUGUUCUGAAACAUAGCUAAUAUUCCAGGUUCAUUUUCUGCCAUUGUUCCGCACCACCACCACUAUGCUAAAUUGAGGUUUGUAAAUCACCCUUAGAAACCUUACCAGCCAUCUCCUUUUCAUAGCUGAGAAAUCCUAGACUUCAUGCAGUAAGCUAACUUAUUUAAAGUAAAACAAGUAUUACACCUUUGACUUCAGAGCAGAAUCCAAUCUCAACCAUUUCAUCAUCAUGCCACACCUGCUGUCCAGGGUAUUGUAGAAAAGAGGAAAUAAUGCCAUUGAACUUUUGGCUUUUUAAAAUACUAUUCUGCUUGACAUGGUGGCAUACAUUAAUCCCAGCAUUCCAGAGACAAUGCAUGUUGAUCUCUAUGAGUUUCAGGCCAGCUUGGUCUACAUAGUACCAGAAUAGCUGGGGCUGUAUAAAAAAACCUCUGUCUCAAAACACCAAGAUAAUAAAAUAAAUAUAUUAUUAAUAAUAAUGAUUCCAGGUGUGGCGGCACAUACCAUUAGUCCUAGCAUUUGGGAGGCUGUUAGUAUUUUUUGAUGGCAAAUAACAAAUUCAUUUUCAACAACCUUAGGAGAAUGAAAUAAUUUUUCAUUAACUUGUAACUAAAGUUACAAAACUUUAACUUGUAACUGAAAGUGUGGCAAUGUCUGUUCAAACAUUCAAAUAUUUUGCCCAGAAAUGCUGUCUUGGGAGUGACAGUAACUGAGUCCAGACACAGGUUGACCAUGCUAUAGAGAUGUGCUGAGUAUUGUAGCAGUGGGACACAUUGCUUGUUAAUAGCUUGUUCACCUUGAUGCCAGAAGAGGGAGGACUCACGAUGACUUGGUUGAGGAAGGAGCAGCUGAUGAUGCAACAGCAGGACGAUAUGGGAGGAAGAACAUAGAUCUAUGCUGGCUUUGCAGAUAAUCCACCUGAUCCACAUCCAGACUCACUAAAGAGUUGAAUAGUUUUUUUCUGGGCCUCAGUUCCUGUCACUGCAAAACGAUGCUCCUGUCAUAAAAUUACCAGGAGGCUAAGAUGAAGGAAACUUCUGUCUAUAAGCACUUUAUAUUGUUGGCCCCAACUUGAUACCUGCCAAAUACAUCUGCAUUGAUCCGACCUUUCUGAGUUCUGUCUCACACUGAAUGAUUAUCCCAUCCGGAGGAAGAUACAUGAGAAAUAGAUUGAACAGUUGCUAAAGAUUUCAGUUAUUAUUGCUGGCUUUUCUUUGCAUUUUAAAGGUUUCUUCGGUUUGUUUUGAGUGAAGGGGAUUGUUGGGAGUGAGUUACGUUAGAAACAACACCUUUGUGCCUCUUUACACAAGGAGUAUCUCAGAGUAGGACUCAGCCUGAUAUCAACAGGGUUGGUCUCUAUGACAAGGAACAAUAAUAGUAUUAUUUGAGCUCCCUUCCUGUGUGGGUUGUAGUCUUUAUUCAGAUUCCAAAAUAAACCACUGAAAAGUUGCUUACCUGAAAAGUGAAUCCGCUUGACCUACUGAAGUCUUAAGGCACUAGCUUAAAAUUACAAGUCAUACUGAGAUUGUCACUGAAAAGUGAGAAGCCUACAAAUCUCUUUACACUGAUUGACACUGGGGUUGCUGGUGGUUUUAAGACCAGGAGGCACCCAUGAACAAGGAGGGCCUUUCCAGAGUGUCCAUACCACCCAGAACAGCUGACAUCACUUCUGCAGGCACCUCAACAGAGCGGUUGUCACCAAAAGGUGGCACAUGCCAGUUGCUAAGUUGCUAGGGAAGGAAGCUUGCUGUGUUCUGUGUGAAAGAUCUAACAAUGCAGCCUCAAACUCACUGACAGCUCCAGGAUGUUUCUUAGC
rnacentral:lncRNA from 1 species